ensembl:lncRNA
GCAACAACAAAAAAGACAUAGCAAUGUAAUAUUCCGUGCUCUCUGAUUUGAGUAUAAUGAACCCCGUUUCUUUGUGAUGUUUUCUGUCCUCAGAUACAGAGAGCUGUGAAACCCUGUCUACAGAUGAAGAGAAAGGUCCCAAUGAAUGUCCCAAUAGAAUAAGGACACGUGCCCUACCCUAAUCUGUAUCCAGACCAGUCCACUAAGCGAGAAGUGGACAAUGGAAGAGCGCUUCCGACCUCUGACCUUCCACAGCAUCAUCUUUGCGGUCCCAGUUGGUCAACCUGCUCAUCCGUGGCGUCUGCUACACAGAGAACCAGUCGAUUGUGGGAAUAAUCACACGACACAAUUUAACCCACGAGUUCCUUUUGGUGAAACUCAGACAGCACUACAUCACCAUUUCAGCUCCAGAGUCCAGUCUUUAAAGCCGACAAGAACCGCCUGCGUCUUGCUGUCCUUGGGACACAAUCCCCCCUGUAACUGGAUCUGUACCAUGCUUUUCCAUGUCUUAUCCAUUACACACACCCAACCAUACAGCAUCCAUUCUCUGUAUGAGAUAAUAGGCACACACCCCUUGUAAUGAAAGCUGGUGACUUUUGUCUGCUGAAGAGCCUUCUAUCACCCAAAGACGUCCUCCGUGUCCCAACACAUUUCCAUGCUUUACCAACCAACCAACGAUUUAUCAUCAUUAUCACUGUGACACUUUUGUUUAGAUUUCUGACUGUAUUUUUUUAUUCUAUGUUUACUGUAUAUUUAAAUGUUCUAUUCUAUAUAUUUGCACUAAAACCAUUUCACUGUUCCGCCAGUGCUUCGAUCAAAGUAGGCUCAUCAAGAGAUCGAGAUUAGGGACCGUUUCUAAUCAAGGGAUAUGUUUGGAGCUACAUUAACACAAAAAUGCAUAAUUGCACUUGCAUAUGUGAAGCUGAACAACAGACAGUUGUUCUCACAAAUAUUCAGGCAACAGGGUUAUGAGAGUGGAAUGGAAUCAACAAAAGUUUAUUAAUUUUAUUUUUGUUAUUUUGACUAAAUAUGCUGGGCCAAGGAAGGCUCAGCAUAUUUUCUAGACAGAAAAUGGUGGAUGUCUGUUUGUCAGUAUUAAUCCUUAAGAGUCUAUUGGCGUACCCGUGUGUCAAUCUAUGUAACAUAACAAAAAUACCCCCAUCAAAAUCUGUCAGGUUAAGCUAGAGAUAUCAGUGUUUUUGCAUGGGCUGCGUAACAAUCCACCACAUCCGCCUAUGUCAGGCAUUCCGCAUCUGCGGUUGAAGGUGGCUUGUAUGUCUUCCAUUUCCUAAUAAUUGCUCCCACAGUUGAUUUCUUCAAACCAAGCUGCUUACCUUUUGCAGAUUCAGUCUUCCCAGCCUGGUGUAGGUCUACAAUUUUGUUUCUGGUGUCCUUUGACAGCUCUUUGGUCUUGGCCAUAGUGGAGUUUUGGAGUGUGACUGUUUGAGGUUGUGGACAGGUGUCUUUUAUACUGAUAACAAGUUUAAACAGAUGCCAUUAAUACAGGUAACGAGUGGAGGACAGAGGAGCCUCUUAAAGAAGAAGUUACAGGUCUGUGAGAGCCAGAAAUCGUGCUUGUUUGUACGUGAUCAAAUACUUAUUUUCCACCAUAAUUUGCUAAUAAAUUCAUUAAAAAUCCUACAAUA